ACAUUUGCAGGAUGGUUUGGUCGAUCUCUGUUCCAUGCAAUUGUUGUAUUUAUAAUCAGUAUAAAUGCGUAUGCCUAUGAAAAAAGUGAAAUGGAGGAGGUUGCAAUGAUGGCACUUUCUGGAUGUAUAUGGUUGCAGGCUUUUGUUGUAACAUUAGAGACCAACUCCUAUACAAUAUUACAACACCUAGCAAUAUGGGGGAACUUAAUUGCAUUUUAUGUCAUCAACUGGAUUGUUAGUUCCAUUCCAUCAUCGGGGAUGUAUACGAUAAUGUUCCGGCUAUGCAGACAACCAACUUACUGGAUAACUGUAUUUCUCAUUGUUGCAGCGGGAAUGGGCCCAAUACUAGCCCUGAAGUACUUCCGCUAUACAUAUAGACCGAGUAAAAUCAACACCCUCCAGCAGGCUGAACAUUUGGGCGGACCAAUAUUGUCUCUGGGUAAUAUCGAGCCACAGCCAAGAUCGUUAGAGAAAGAAGUUUCUCCAUUAUCAAUUACUCAACCCAAGAACAGAAGUUCAGUUUACGAACCUCUAUUAUCAGACUCUCCAAAUGCUAGAAGAUCUUUUGGAUCAGGAACGCCAUUUGAUUUCUUUCAAUCGCAAUCCAGAUCGUCUUCUUCGAGCUACUCAAGAAAUUGCAAGGAUAACUGAGCUCCACUUGGUAAAAAAAGAAGUUUAUAGGCAGCAUAGUUGAUGGUAUACAAGUUCUUUGUUAGAGUUGUAAAGCAUACAAUUUUUCCAUCCCACAUGAUUUAUUUACCCUUCAAUGCCCACCUCUA
rnacentral:misc_RNA from 1 species